rnacentral:lncRNA from 1 species
GAGCUUUCCAUGAAGUUUAGCUGCUUCAUGCUGAGAGUGUGAUGAGGAGAGUGGAGUUGCAGCCUGGGGUGUGAAGUGGAAAUCCUGUCACCCACAGUGGUGGUCUGCACAUGUCCACGUCUUUUCUGAAAUGGAGGGUUAAUCUCCCUAAGAGCUUGGAGCCAGGGUGGCCAUGAGGAAGACCUUGGGAAGAUGGAACGUGCCGUUGGAGCUUGGCCCAGAUGUUGCUCUUAAAGGAUAGAACAGUCCUGGACAAAGACCAGGCCAAGGCGUAUAUUCCAGAGAGGUGUUUUUUUUUAAAAAAAGAAAAAAAGACGGAAAAAAGGAAUAUCCUCCUCCUUUAUGCCAUUAUCAUCAUCCUUCAAUUCCCUGCUGAAAUGUUACAGUCUUCCUAUGGAACGCUGUGGAAGAAAUAGUCUCUCACUACCUCAAACAUCUCAACUUUUAGACCCCCUCAUGGUACUACAUGCUAUCUACUAGAAUUAUAAACGGGUUAUCAUAUAUAAAUAAUUUAGCUCUGCAUAUUCCGUAGCCAGGACCUUGUAAAUGUUGAAUGAACUAUGUGGCUGAACUGUAUUACUAACUGAGUGUGAUGGUUAAUUUUAUGUGUCAAUUGGCCUGGACCACGGGGUCCUCAGAUAUUUGGUCAAACAUUAUUCUGGGUGUUUUUGUGAGGAUGUUUUUGGAUGAGAUUAACAUUUAAAUCAAUAAACUGAGUAAAGCGGAUUGCCCUUCCUAAUACAGGUGGGCUUCAUCGACAUGCUUUUUCUUGCCUUCAGACUUGAACUGAAACAUUGGCU